rnacentral:rRNA from 1 species
GUGGGGAAUAUUGCACAAUGGGCGAAAGCCUGAUGCAGCGACGCCGCGUGGGGGAUGAAGGCCUUCGGGUUGUAAACCCCUUUCAGCAGGGAAGAAGCGAAAGUGACGGUACCUGCAGAAGAAGCGCCGGCUAACUACGUGCCAGCAGCCGCGGUAAUACGUAGGGCGCAAGCGUUGUCCGGAAUUAUUGGGCGUAAAGAGCUCGUAGGCGGUUUGUCGCGUCUGGUGUGAAAACUCAAGGCUCAACCUUGAGCUUGCAUCGGGUACGGGCAGACUAGAGUGCGGUAGGGGUGACUGGAAUUCCUGGUGUAGCGGUGGAAUGCGCAGAUAUCAGGAGGAACACCGAUGGCGAAGGCAGGUCACUGGGCCGCAACUGACGCUGAGGAGCGAAAGCAUGGGGAGCGAACAGGAUUAGAAACCCUAGUAGUCC